rnacentral:lncRNA from 1 species
CCCUGCAGCGACUGGCACUGGACCUGCCAAGCAGGAAUUGUGUUGGUGCUUCUGGAGCAGCUGAUCCAGAGAUCUGCUCUCGGAAAGAACCGACCUUCCUUUGUCCAGCGUGCUGGGAUCUUUGCAGCAGCCCAUGCCGCAGCGCCUCACCCGUUCCACCUGAUCUGCCCAUGCCACUGGCUUGGACCUAACCUAGGCUCAAUCUCAGCGUGGCCUGGGCAGGGGGGAACCAUGGGGAGCUCUGCCUCAUCGCUGGCCGCAGAGACGGAGUCGGACCAUGGCUUCGGUAGCUCGCCCUACCCGGGGCACCCGGCCGUGGGCUGGUAUAGGAGCAGUCCCGGUGGCCCCGUGUGGGAAAGUGCCCUUAUAACGCGGCAGCACCAGCACUUCCAGCACCGGCUGCGAAGGUAAGGAGGAGGGGAAGGAGCCUGCUCACCCGCUCACCCGCUCACCUGCUCACCUCAGCUUCAGUCCGGCCGCUGCCU